GAAGAGAAAGACGGAAGCAAGAAACAGACGGAACAGAUGAUCACUCACUAGGGAUUGUUAAGGAUAUGAUAUCUCUAUGAUAUCUUUUCCAUUUAAGUCUUGAUCUCAAUUCCUGUAAUAUAGGAAACUAUUGUUAAUAGCUUAACCUAGUAGCGCAUGUGCUCUAGUAUAUAUAUCUCUUCCUUCUCAUGUAAAGGAUAUAUUGAAAACACAUUCCUUACAUGGUAUCACGAGCUUAAUCGGUUACCCUAUAUUUUUUUUUCCAGAGCCGCCAUCCUCAACCCUCUUUCUUCUUCUCCAAGCUCUAGCCAUGGCUGCCAUCGCAGAAACCGUUGAUGACGCUCAACGUCUUCUUCACAUCAACAUGGUGAAUAUCACCAAACUCACCACAACAAACUUCAUGACCUGGAAUCUCCAAGUACAUGCUCUCCUCGAUGGCUACAAUCUCGCAGGACAUCUUGAUGAUUCCACACCGGCUCCGGAACAAACAAUCACCACCGAUGAUGUAAUCUCCGUCAAUCCAGCGUUCACCAAAUGGCACCGUCAAGACCGUCUGAUCUACAGUGCCUUGAUCGGCACUCUGUCUCCAUCAAUCCAAGCGAUGGUGACUAACACCAAGACUGCUCAAGAUGUCUGGAAGGCUCUCAGCACAACCUAUGCUACACCAAGUCGUGGUCAUAUUCAACAGCUCCGCCUCCAACUAAAAGUUCAAGGCUUUAGUGGAGAAUCAUUUCACAACAAAAAUCGGAACCUUGUACUCUGAUAAUGGAGGCGAGUUCAUCGCCUUACGUACUCUCCUAGCUGAAGCCGGCAUCUCCCACCUCACCUCACCACCACACACCCCUGAACACAAUGGAAUCUCCGAGAGAAAGCACAGACAUGUUGUUGAAACUGGCAUGACGCUGCUCACUCACUCUGGAAUGCCCAAACCGUACUGGACAUAUGCGUUUGCUACUGCCACGUACUUGAUCAACAGGCUGCCCACACCGGUCAUUAACAUGGAGACACCAUUCAACAAACUCUUCGCCACACAACCCAACUACUCCAAGCUGAGAGUUUUCGGAUGCCUUUGCUUCCCCUGGCUCCGACCUUACACCAAACACAAACUUGAAGAUCGCUCAACACCCUGUGUGUUCCUAGGCUAUUCCACAACACAAAGCGCCUACCUAUGCUUGCAACCCAACACUGGCAGGAUCUACAUCUCGCGUCACGUUCGCUUUGACGAGACGCAAUUCCCAUACCACAAACUAAAAACACCUAUCCAAACCCAAACCUCUGAGCCAACAACCCCACCUACAUACCCACCAGUCACCACAAUACCAUUCUCUCCAAACCCACCACAACCUACCCCACCUAUACCGCCACUCGUACUGUCUCCAACGGGAUCCUCAAGCUCAGAUUCUCACUUGCAGGUACAGGAGAGUUCAACAGACUUGGAGACCACGCCACCAUCAGACGGUGGUACACUGGCGGUUACAACUUCGUCGGACUCUGCCUCGACUGCUCCAACCUCGCAGCAAGAGAACGACGCUCAGCCACAGACAUCGUCGUCAUCAUCUUCAUCAGCUCCAGCACCACCACCAACGAACGAGCACUCGAUGACCACCAGGCGCAAGAAUCACAUCGUCAAACCGAACCCAAAAUACAAUUACUCGGCUGCACUCUCUACAUCAGUUCCAGACGAACCACGCACACUGACUCAAGCUCUUAGUGAUAAGAGAUGGCGUGGGUCUAUGUCAACAGAAAUUGAUGCUUUUGUUCGCAAUGGAACAUAUGAUCUGGUUCCACGACAGCCUCACUAUAAUGUUGUUGGUUGCAGGUGGCUCCACAAAAAUAAAUUUCACUCAAAUGGAUCUCAUCGUUGCUGCAAAUCGAGACUGGUUGCCAAAGGCUACAAACAACAAUUUGGGCAAGACUACACGGAGACUUUCAGCCCGGUAAUCAAAUCAACAACACUGCGCUUGGUACUGGAUAUUGCUGUAAGUAACUCCUGGUCUAUACAGCAGCUGGACGUCAACAAUGCCUUCCUCCAGGGCACACUAACGGAGGAAGUCUAUAUGGAUCAGCCACCGGGCUUCAUUGAUCAAGACAACCCAACUCAUGUCUGCCGUCUCAAAAGGCGGUCUAUGGUCUCAAACAAGCUCCAAGAGCUUGGUACAAUGAACUUCGCGACUUCCUUCUCAGCCUAGGAUUCGCAAACUCCCUUGCUGAUACAUCCUUGUUUGUUCUUAAGCGCAAACAGGGUUUUGUCUAUCUUUUAAUCUAUGUUGAUGACAUCCUGGUGACAGGAAACUCCAAAGACGACAUACGCACCAUCCUCACACUUUUGGCAGAUAGGUUCUCUGUCAAGGAUGCUGAAGACUUGAACUACUUCUUAGGCAUCGAGGCACACCGGACAUCACACGGCCUACACCUCUCUCAGCGCAAAUACAUCCUUGACUUGCUCCACAAACACGAUAUGAUCAAUGCAAAACCGGUAAGCACACCUAUGGCGUCGUCGACAAAGCUCACGCUCAAAACCGGCACGCCGCUCACCAACCCCACCAAAUAUCGCCAGCUCAUUGGAGGUCUUCAAUAUCUUCAGUUCACACGUCUGGACAUUGCCUUUGCAGUCAACAGGCUAUCUCAGUUUAUGCACUGUCCGACAGAAGAUCACUGGCAAGCCGCCAAAGAGUGUUAAGAUAUCUUGCUGGUACCCCUACUCAUGGUGUCUACUACAGCGCCAACAACAAACUCCUUCUGCAAGCAUACUCAGAUGCUGAUUGGGCUGGAGAUGCUGAUGACUACGUCUCAACAAACUCCUACAUAGUAUACCUUGGGAAACAUCCCAUCUCCUGGAGUUCCAAGAAACAAAAUGGCGUGGCGCGAUCCUCUACAGAGGCCGAGUAUAGGGCUGUUGCAAAUGCUGCUGCUGAGCUCGCCUGGAUAUGCAAUGUACUCACUGACCUUGGCGUUCAAGUCCCAACAGCUCCGUUUCUCUACUGUGACAAUAUUGGUGCGACAUUCCUUUGUGCGAACCCAGUUUUUCACUCUCGGAUGAAGCACAUUGCUCUUGACUAUCACUUCGUCAGAGGACAGGUUCAACAAGGCGCUCUGCGUGUCUCUCACGUCAACACCAGAGACCAACUUGCUGAUGCCUUGACAAAGCCCCUACCUCGCGCCCGAUUCCUAGAACUAAGAGACAAGAUUGGAGUUGCUUCAGCCCCUCCAUCUUGAGGGGGCGUGUUAAGGAUAUGAUAUCUCUAUGAUAUCUUUUCCAUUUAAGUCUUGAUCUCAAUCCCUGUAAUAUAGGAAACUAUUGUUAAUAGCUUAACCUAGUAGCGCAUGUGCUCUAGUAUAUAUAUCUCUUCCUUCUCAUGUAAAGGAUAUAUUGAAAACACAUUCCUUACA
rnacentral:lncRNA from 1 species